GCCCCAGACUCCUACGGGAGGCAGCAGUGGGGGAUAUUGCACAAUGGGGGGAACCCUGAUGCAGCGACGCCGCGUGGGUGAAGGAGCGUUUCGGCGCGUAAAGCCCUAUCGGCAGGGAAGAAGGAGGACGGUACCUGACUAAGAAGCCCCGGCUAACUACGUGCCAGCAGCCGCGGUAAUACGUAGGGGGCAAGCGUUAUCCGGAUUCACUGGGUGUAAAGGGAGCGUAGACGGCCAUGCAAGCCUGGAGUGAAAGCCCGGGGCCCAACCCCGGGACUGCUCUGGGAACUGUGCGGCUGGAGUGCGGGAGGGGCAGGCGGAAUUCCUGGUGUAGCGGUGAAAUGCGUAGAUAUCAGGAGGAACACCGGCGGCGAAGGCGGCCUGCUGGACCGCGACUGACGUUGAGGCUCGAAAGCGUGGGGAGCAAACAGGAUUAGAUACCCGUGUACC
rnacentral:rRNA from 1 species